GUGAAUCAUCGAAUUUUUGAACGCAAAUUGCACUCUCUUCGGAGAGUAUGCCUGUUUGAGGGUCAGCCUAAAAAAAUUCGACAUCGGUGCUGUUUCGCGGCGGCGUUCGUCGGAAGUGGGGUUAUAGUAAAUCUUGGGUGUAAGCGACUGAAAAUUUUCUUUGCGAUUGCAUGAACGGGUCCAAGGUUUAUUUGUGUAAACGUUUAAGUAAGCUAGUUGAUU
rnacentral:misc_RNA from 1 species